UGUGCCCUCAGCCUGUGAAGUCUGCCUAACUCUGGCUAGUCCAUCGCAAGUCACUGCACACGUAUUAAUUCAAUCAGCUCUAUGGUCUAACCCAGGCACAACAGGAAUACAACCUUUUACUACAGAUGUGGGAUUGUUCAUGUCAUCUACUAAUGCAAGAUGGAUCUGAGAACGCUGUCUGGGCUUGGUACCAAGAGCUGGUAUUUCACAGCAGCGACCGCCUCACAGACGAGCUGUGGGAAGCAGGAGGGAGACUCUCUCUUAGGGUGCCACUACUAUGGAGACACAGCUGGGCUGAACAAGAUUUGCUUCAAACGACAACAAGAGAGACAGAAAGUAUCUGGUUCAACCGCUGCCCGAGCAGGCAGGCACCAGAAGAGCUAGCAGCCAAUCCGGCCAUGCUCGAAGCCAGCUCUGCAGCUCAGCCAAUCAGUGACAUCAUUGCUUUCUUUAGCUUGCCCAUGGUGAUGUGAAGAUGAGAAGAAAUAGCAAGGCCCAACCAGUUCUUCAUCUGGAGACAGUUCAACGUUCUGCAAACCAGAUCUUCAGGAAUUUUACUGGGAUAAUUAUCCAAAUAAAUUGCAAGCAUUCUAUCCAAAUGGAGCUCUUUCUGAGAUGAAGAGAAUUCUCAAUGUCAAGAUUUGAACAAGAAGAGAAUGGAAUACACAAUAUGGACAUCCAUAAAAAUUCAUCAGAGAGCAUUUUACUACUGAGCUGCAAAGGGAAAAACUUAAAAUGGAUAUGAAAAGUGAAGAAAGUGAUCAUAGGAGAAAACCAUUUCAGAUCAACCACCUCAGAAGAGCCAGAUUCCACUUCUGUGGCCAGGACUUUUACAUUAUGGCUGGUCCGAUUGUUUUACCCUGCGUUCUAUGCUACUAAACCUUGGAUCAUUCCUAAAGUACAAAUUCUGUUCUCGAACCACAAACAAGGCUAAAAGAUCGGAGGAAAUUCAGUGAAUAUACAGGAUUGGGGUUGUGUAUUUUUAAAAGUGUCUGAUGAUUUGUGAGCCUCAAGUGACUACUCUGUGGAAUCAUCUGUCCUUGCCUUUGAAUUAGCUUUCCCUAGGCCAUGAGUCAACAUUAGUAGUUUAUACAUCCAAAUUGAUGACAAGAGCACCUCAAAGGCAGCAGCCUCAAGGAGCAGCCAUGGCCCCAGACUUGUCGCACGGAUGCAGAAAACUUAAUGGAGGAGGCUGAGGUCAGAAUGGGAAGAGUUUUUAAAAAAUAAAAAGGGGAGCUAAUAUGU
rnacentral:lncRNA from 1 species